AAAUGACAAAUGGCCUCCAAGGAUUUUGCAAUAGGCAUGAUCUUAUUAUCUCAGAUCAUGGUCGGAUUCCUGGGGAAUUUCUUUCUUCUCUACCACUAUAGUUUCCUUUGUUUCACCAGAGGUAUGUUACAGUCCACAGAUCUGAUUCUCAAGCACCUGACCAUAGCCAACUCCUUGGUUAUACUCUCUAAAGGAAUCCCACAAACAAUGGCUGCUUUUGGGUUGAAAGAUUCCCUCAGUGAUAUUGGAUGCAAAUUUGUGUUUUAUGUUCACAGAGUGGGCAGGGCUGUGUGCACUGAGUGUCUUCCAGGUCAUCACCAUCAGCCCCAGUGAAUUCAGGUGGGCAGAGCUGAAGCUACAUGCUCACAAAUACAUCAGGUCUUUUAUCCUGGUCCUGUGCUGGAUUCUGAACACGCUGGUAAAUAUUACUGUUCUUCUACAUGUGACUGGCAAGUGGAACAGCAUAAAUAGCACAAAGACAAAUGAUUAUGGAUAUUGUUCUGGAGGAAGUAGGAGCAGAAUUCCACAUUCAUUACAUAUUGUCUUGUUAUCAUCCCUUGAUGUUUUGUGUUUGGGGCUCAUGACCUUGGCCAGUGGCUCCAUGGUUUUUAUCCUGCACAGGCACAAGCAGCAGGUCCAGCACAUUCAUGGGACCAACCUCUCCGCCAGAUCCUCCCCUGAGUCCAGAGUCACCCAAAGCAUCCUGGUCCUGGUGAGCACCUUGUGUUACUUUACUCGCUCUCCUCCAUCUUUACAUAUGUCUCUUUUUCCUAAUCCCAGUUGGUGGCUGUUGAACACCUCUGCACUGAUCACUGCCUGUUUUCCCAUGGUCAGCCCCUUUGUGCUCAUGAGCCGCCAUCCCAGGAUACCCAGGCUGGGCUCUGCCUGCUGUGGAAGGAAUCCACAGUUUCCUAAGCUGGUCAGAUAGUUCUCCGAUUUAUGUGGAUUGUCUUCUUUUUGUAUAAUGAAUGGCCGUUUGUUGAUUUCUUCCUGCAGGUUAAGCACCGCAAUGGGCAGUCAAUUGCAGUGUAUAUAAGACUCAGAAUCCGUCUUUGCCCUUCAAGGAUUUUUCACGUAUCAUAAACAACAGUUACAGAUGAAAUGUUUUUGCAAAGUGCUUUCAUAAUUUUCAUUUUGUUUGUAAUUUCAUAAUUUUCAUUUUGUUAAUGUUGCAAUGGAGAAGUUAAGAGGCAAAUUAUUAAUUAAAAAUGGGCCUCUAAUAAGUUGGAACAAUGCAACUUUAAACCAAUUAAUAAAAAAUGUCAUGGA